rnacentral:lncRNA from 1 species
GUCAUCUUUAAUAUGCUAGAUGACCACUGUUAACUUACUCUUUAGCUUUUCAUUAUGAAUCAUGGGAAAUCGAAGGACAUCCUUAUUCCUACUAUACAUAUUCUUAGGCUGCAUCGUGAGUCUCAGAGGUUCUCAUCCUAGAUCUGGGUAGUCUGGUGGCUCUAGAACACUGGUGACCUUUAAAAAAAGUCCUUCUUUAAGUUGUCCCUGGAAAGACAUCAGGCCUUGAGUAAGACCUUCUAUCCUCUAACCUGACGGAAGGUCAUAGCCAAGAGCACUGAGUUACUUUGCUACUUCCCUAUACUUCAGAAGUGUGACUGAAUCAAUUCUAAGGACAAAUUGCUCCAUAGGACUGAAUAAAGUAUCAUUGUAGGUCACAAGGAUUGUGUUUGUGAGAAAAUUGAAAUGUAGACAAAGAGGGUCUACUAGGAAAGGAAACACUUUUGAUUUCUCAUUUAUUGAAUCAGGAGAGAGGGACAUUAAAACUAUCUCCAUUUAUAGUUAUGUCACUGAAGAUGUUCAUUGUAACAUUUUAAAAUAGCAAAAAAUUUUAAAAAGCAACAACAUUGGAGGAUAAUAUAGACUAGUAUACAUCAAUUAAAAUGAUCUUUAUAAAGUGCUUAAGUUUCAGGAUUUUGAAAUGAGCCAGAAAAUUUUGCAGAAGACCCCAAUAGCACAGGAAACAAAAGCAAAACCAGUCAAACGCCAUUAGCAAAGGAAAUAAUCAACAUAGUGAAGAGAGAAUCUAUAGAGUGGGAGAAAAUAUUUACAAGCUAUACAAUUGACAAGGGAUGAUAUCCAGAAUAUAUAAAGAAUUAAAAAAACUCUGUGUGGGGGGGACCAAAUAACCCAUUAAAAAUGGGUAAUACGGGGUUGGGAUUGUAACCCAGUGGUAGAGCGCUUGCCUAGCAUGUGUGAGGCAUGGGGUUUGAUCCUUAGCACCUCAUAAAAAUAAAUAAAUA